rnacentral:rRNA from 1 species
UGGGGAAUAUUGGACAAUGGGCGCAAGCGUGAUCCAGCCAUGCCGCGUGAGUGAUGAAGGUCUUAGGAUUGUAAAGCUCUUUUGCCAGGGAAGAUAAUGACGGUACCUGGAAAAUAAGCCCCGGCUAACUUCGUCCCAGCAGCCGCGGUAAUACGGAGGGGGCGAGCGUUUUUGGGAAUUACUGGGUGUAAAGCGCGCGUAGGGUGUGUGAUAAGUCAGGUGUGAAAUCCCGGGGCUCAACCUGGGAAGUGCCUUUGAUACUGUCAGUCUUGAGUCCGGAAGAGGAGAGUGGAAUUCCCAGUGUAGAGGUGAAAUUCGUAGAUAUUGGGAAGAACACCAGUGGCGAAGGCGGCUCUCUGGUCCGGUACUGACGCUGAGGCGCGAAAGCGUGGGGAGCAAACAGGAUUAGAUACCCUGGUAGUCCACGCCGUAAACUAUGGAUGCUAGCCGUCGGCAAGCUUGCUUUCGGUGUCGCAGCUAACGCGUAAGCACACCGCCUG